CAGCCGUUGGUUCCAGCUUAGUAUGUGAAGAAGCACUGGUUCAUACAUAAAGAUAGUAGAGUAGUCAUACUUAUGUAAAUAACAUUCUUUGCUUGAUCAAUAAAUUUGAUAUUUCAUCAAAAAAAAAAAAACAAUAUUUUUAUUAUAAAAGUUAAAAAGAUACAAAAAAUUACAAUUAAAUAUUAUUCAAGAAAAAAUAUUUAUAUAAAUAUAUUUUCUAAACUAUUUCUAAGAUAUGAGUGUUUUAAAAAAUUUAACACGAGAUGUUUAGAAUACGGGAUUAUGCUUAUGAGAGAGUGGCUCGGGAGUGGGCUAGGAGAUGGGUCUAAUGGGCUGCGAAUUGUUGAAUUUUUGUUUUUAAU
rnacentral:lncRNA from 1 species